rnacentral:rRNA from 1 species
GAGGUAACGGCUCACCAAGGCGACGAUGCGUAGCCGACUUGAGAGGGUGAUCGGCCACACUGGGACUGAGACACGGCCCAAACUCCUACGGGAGGCAGCAGUAGGGAAUCUUCCGCAAUGGACGAAAGUCUGACGGAGCAACGCCGCGUGAGUGAUGAAGGUUUUCGGAUCGUAAAACUCUGUUGUUAGGGAAGAACAAGUAUCGUUCGAAUAGGGCGGUACCUUGACGGUACCUAACCAGAAAGCCACGGCUAACUACGUGCCAGCAGCCGCGGUAAUACGUAGGUGGCAAGCGUUGUCCGGAAUUAUUGGGCGUAAAGCGCGCGCAGGCGGUUUCUUAAGUCUGAUGUGAAAGCCCACGGCUCAACCGUGGAGGGUCAUUGGAAACUGGGAGACUUGAGUGCAGAAGAGAAGAGCGGAAUUCCACGUGUAGCGGUGAAAUGCGUAGAGAUGUGGAGGAACACCAGUGGCGAAGGCGGCUCUUUGGUCUGUAACUGACGCUGAGGCGCGAAAGCGUGGGGAGCGAACAGGAUUAGAUACCCUGGUAGUCCACGCCGUAAACGAUGAGUGCUAAGUGUUAGAGGGUUUCCGCCCUUUAGUGCUGCAGCUAACGCAUUAAGCACUCCGCCUGGGGAGUACGGCCGCAAGGCUGAAACUCAAAGGAAUUGACGGGGGCCCGCACAAGCGGUGGAGCAUGUGGUUUAAUUCGAAGCAACGCGAAGAACCUUACCAGGUCUUGACAUCCUCUUGCCCUCCCUAGAGAUAGGGAUUUCCCUUCGGGGACAAGAGUGACAGGUGGUGCAUGGUUGUCGUCAGCUCGUGUCGUGAGAUGUUGGGUUAAGUCCCGCAACGAGCGCAACCCUUGACCUUAGUUGCCAGCAUUCAGUUGGGCACUCUAAGGUGACUGCCGGUGACAAACCGGAGGAAGGUGGGGAUGACGUCAAAUCAUCAUGCCCCUUAUGACCUGGGCUACACACGUGCUACAAUGGAUGGUACAAAGGGUUGCUAGACCGCGAGGUUACGCCAAUCCCAUAAAACCAUUCUCAGUUCGGAUUGUAGGCUGCAACUCGCCUACAUGAAGCCGGAAUCGCUAGUAAUCGCGGAUCAGCAUGCCGCGGUGAAUACGUUCCCGGGCCUUGUACACACCGCCCGUCACACCACGAGAGUUUGUAACACCCGAAGUCGGUGAGGUAACCUUUUGGAGCCA